GGGGACAGGUCUUUCCUGUGCUGUUUUCAUGAUAGCGAGUAAGUCUCAUGAGAUCUGAUGGUAUUAUAAGGGGGAGUUUCCCUGCCCAAGCUCCUCUCAUUGCCUGCCACCACCCACGUAAGAUGUGACUUGCUCCUUCUUGCCUUCUGCCAUGACUGUGAGGCCUUCUCAGCCACGUGGAACUUCAUGUCAAGGGAAAGAACAAAAGGAAAAGAACCCCUGGACACGAAAUGCCUGCAGCGUGUUUUCCAGCCUGGGACCCGCGGACAUUCUGAGUCGGCAGGAAGCUCUUUGGGGUGGCGCCGUCCCUGGCACUGUAGGAUGUCUCACAGCAUCCCGGGAUGCCCGCAGCACCCCCUCCCCACCCUGAGGUGUGACAACCAAAAAUGUCUCCAGGCAUUACCACCACAUGUCCCGGGGAACGAAAUCCCCCAGAUGAGCACCACUGCACUGCAGAAAGGGAUAUCUAGAAAUGGGUGCAUUUUAAAGCCAGAAUCAGAGGGCAAUUCUUAAGUAAACAGCCUUAAUCAUAGCCAUCCAGUUGCAGCCUAGGAUGCGGAGUGUGAAAUCGUAAGCAUGAUCAGCCUCUCAGAGGGUGGUGCUGCAGUGACUCAGUCUGAGAGAAAAUUUACACUAAUGAUAGCAAGGUAUCAAACAUGGUACCAAAGAGUUUAACCUACCAAUGGCUCUUUAAGGAGGGUCACAUUUUUUUCCUCACUUUUCCAACGGGGAAAGGCAGUCAUAAAGAAGGCACUUCUCAGAGAGCUAGGAAGUAGGGUGUGGGGUGUAAAACCCAAACCCAAGUGCAGCAAACCUUUUCGUGCUUUCUCUCUCCUUAACCAGCCCAUCACUAUUCCUGAGUCUUGUUGGGAGCCAUUCCAAUUUAUGGGCAGUCACUUCCGUCAGGUGUAUCAUUGAGUCAAGAGCUCUGAAUGGUUUUAUUCAUUUUGGGUUUUUUGACCAGCAGUGACGAUCUAGUAUAUCUUUUUAUUUUACUGCUCACACUGAUUAUAGGAAGUCUAGCUGUUUAAGCAGCGGUGACAUGGAGAAAAACCUUGUGGAAUUGUCUUUGAGUUGACCAGGAGAACUGCUCCGUGUUCACAGGCUUCAAACGACAUCCCCGGAGUGCCUCACAAACCAUGCAUCCCGAAUGCUUCAGCCCCUGAGAACUGCUAUAGACCGUUAAAUGGUUACAGCAAAAGUCCAGUUAGAAAUUUUUAUUCAGGAUGCCUCCAAACUUGAUCACCAACACGAGCCAUGAACACUGAACUGCAUUCACAGUUGACGAAGCCAUUUUUAUAUAGUAUAUUUUAAAAUUCUACAUAUUUUGAAAAUGCGGUUUUCAUAAGAAACAUUCCAUUGUUGGUUACCUUCUGUGUAUAAAUGAAUAUAUCUUUCUAGAAAGAUCAAUUUAUGUGUCCUCUUUAACCAUCUAUUGUCAACUUUUUUCAAAUGGAGCUUUCUUUUAUAAAUAUAUCUACCAAAAAAAAAGAAAUUUUUAUUCAGGAUGAAAGAGAAAUCUAAUGCUGAUAAAGUUCAACUUUGAUCCUUGAACUACCAAGGCAUUCAUACAGCAUACUGGUUAAAUAAUAUCCCUCCAAACAGGCAGUGUCCAGCUCCAGACAGUCUCGUGGCCAUGAAGAAAUUAGAGCAUCUGGCAGCUCAGCUCCAUAACACUGUUUAGAGGGGCCUUGUGGCUGAUGAAUGAGCAUUAACAUUACAGAUGGAUAUCGAGAAAUAUUAUGAAUGGGUGAUUUAUCACACGGCAACAAAAAUAAUUGCAGGGUCACAUUUCUGGAUCAGACAAUCAGACACAAGUUUGAAGUUGAAAAUAAUAAAAUAUGCUUUGCCUAGGGGCCAGGCGCAGUGGCUCACGCCUGUAAUCCCAGCACUGUGGGAGGCCGAGGUCAGCGGAUCACAAGGUCAAGAGAUCGAGAACAUCCUGGCCAACAUGGUGAAACCCCAUCUCUACUGAAAAUACAAAAAUUAGCUGGAUAUGGUGGCAUGCACCUGUAGUUCCAGCUACUAGGGAAGCUGAGGCAGGAGAAUUGCUUGAACCCAGGAGGCAGAGGUUGCA
rnacentral:lncRNA from 1 species